rnacentral:rRNA from 1 species
AUUGAACGCUGGCGGCAGGCCUAACACAUGCAAGUCGAACGGUAAGAGGAAGAGGCUUGCUCCUUUGCUGACGAGUGGCGGGGGGGUGAGUCAUGUCUGGGAAACUGCCUGAUGGCGGGGGAUAACUACUGGAAACGGAAGCUAAUACCGCAUAACGUCGCAAGACCAAAGAGGGGGAGCUUCGGGCCUCUUGCCAUCGGAUGAGACCAGAUGGGACUAGCUAGUAGGUGGGGUAACGGCUCACGUAGGAAACGAUCCAUAGCCGGUCUGAGAGGGUGACCAGCCACACUGGAACUGAGACACGGUCCAGACUCCUACGGGAGGCAGCAGUAGGGAAUAUUGCGCAAUGGGCGCAAGCCUGACGGAGCAACGCCGCGUGAGUGAUGAAGGCCUUCGGAUUGUAAAGUACUUUCAGCAGGGAAGAAGAAAUUAGAAUUAAUAUCUGCACUCAUUGACGGUACCCGCAGAAGAAGCACCGGCUAACUCCGUG